rnacentral:misc_RNA from 1 species
GGACUAAACAGUAGUUAGUUUUGCUCAAGUAAAAGUUACAUAACUACAAAACCACCAGCAAACUGUCCUGUAAUGUUCCAGACAGGCGCAAAUUUGAAGUUGAGCAAAACUUAUAUACAUCGUUGCCUAACUCGAAAUACUCAAAUCUGCAGUUCACAAGACUAACAAAAACAGAAAAAACAAGACCAACUGUAUCUGAGUUGUGUCUUCCAAACUAGUCUAUAUGAAGUCAGAAUCGCCGCCAAAAUGUGGGAGAUCUGGAUGAGGCCUCCCUCCACCUCCAGGCCUCCUUGGGUUCCUGAUAAAGCGACCUGGUUCAAAGCCAGGAACAUCUGGUGGACCAUAUGGAUCAAAACGGGCACCAGGUGGAACACCCGGCAGUCCACCAGGUAAACGAGGAUCCCCACCCAUUCCACCAAAAAAACGAGGGUCAUUAGGCCCUACAAGCAUGCUCCCACCAGCUCCUGGUUCGCCUCUGGUUGGGUAUACUCCGGCACCAGGCCCGGGGAAAAGAUCACCGCCACCAAUACCAGGAAUGGGAGGAACCACGUACCCUGAGGGAAAAGAACCUGCAGGCUGAUACGGAUAGUCAGGUUG